rnacentral:tRNA from 1 species
GCCGAAGUGGUGAAAUUGGUAGACACGCCAUCUUGAGGGGGUGGUGAGCGUUCGCUCGUGGAGGUUCGAGUCCUCUCUUCGGCACCA